CCUACGGGAGGCAGCAGUGAGGAAUAUUGGUCAAUGGCCGGAAGGCUGAACCAGCCAUGCCGCGUGAAGGUCAGUGCCCUAUGGGCGUUAAACUUCUUUUGUGCGGGAGCAAUAAUGGUCACGUGUGGCCAGACGAGAGUACCGUACGAAUAAGCAUCGGCUAACUCCGUGCCAGCAGCCGCGGUAAUACGGGGGAUGCAAGCGUUAUCCGGAUUUAUUGGGUUUAAAGUGUGCGUAGGCUGUGAGGUAAGUCAGCGGUGAAAUGCCCCCGCUCAACGGGGUGAAGUGCCAUUGAUACUGCCUGGCUGGAAUGCGGAUGCCGUGGGAGGAAUGUGUGGUGUAGCGGUGAAAUGCAUAGAUAUCACACAGAACACCGAUUGCGAAGGCAUCUCACGAAUCCGCGAUUGACGCUGGUGCACGAAAGCGUGGGUAUCAAACAGGAUUAGAUACCCCUGUAGUC
rnacentral:rRNA from 1 species